CCAAAGAGUGUAACAUGUGCGCGAGCCGCGGGGCAGUACGAAACCCGUAAGGCGAAAUAAAGGUGAACGCCGGCGCGGUCCGGCGGAGAGUUGGAUCCCGUCCCAUGCGGGGCGGGCGCACUACCGGCCGAUCUUCUCCGCCCUGUCGGCGAGGUCGAGCGAGAGCGUGCAAGUCGGGACCCGAAAGAUGGUGAACUAUGCCUGAGGAGGUUGAAGCCAGAGGAAACUCUGGUGGAGGACCGUAGCGAUUCUGACGUGCAAAUCGAUCGUCAAAUUUGGGUAUAGGGGCGAAAGACUAAUCGAACCGUCUAGUAGCUGGUUCCCUUCGAAGUUUCCCUCAGGAUAGCUGGCGCUCUGUCGCAGUUUUAUCUGGUAAAGCGAAUGAUUAGAGGUCUUGGGGGCGAAACGCCCUCAACCUAUUCUCAAACUUUAAAUUGGUAAGAAGCCCGACUCGCUCGUUUGGAGCCGGGCAUGGAAUGCGAGUGCCAAGUGGGCCACUCUUGGUAAGCAGGACUGGCGAUGCGGGAUGAACCGAACGCCGGGUUAAGGCGCCCGACGCGACGCUCAUCAGAGCCCACAAAAGGUGUUGGUUGAUAUAGACAGCAGGACGGUGGCCAUGGAAGUCGGAAACCGCUAAGGAGUGUGUAACA
rnacentral:ncRNA from 1 species